ensembl:lncRNA
ACAGGUUGUCUGUGUGUGUUUGUGCAGGUUGAGCUCAGUGUGGAGAAAAGCUCUUUUCAUCUGCUGGUUGAUGGGAUCAGAGUGACUGACGGUAACUUAUCCAAUGACGAAGGUUCAGCUUUAGACCUGCUCAACCCCGUUUAUCUGGGAGGUGAUCCAACAAGCAGAGCCACUAAAGGACACAAUAUUCCCAUGAAGAGUCUAAUCAGCUGUGUUCGGGAUUUCAGAAUGAAUGAUGUGGUUGUCGGUGAACCUGAGAGGGUUGUGCUGGGCUGAAGUUUAUCCAGUUGACUCCGGAAGAGAAGCAAGUUACACCCUGGACAGGUCGAAAUGAGAAAUAUAAUACAAUUAAAAAGUGAUAAAUUAUCUUUUAAAAAGUAAUAGAUUACUGUAUGUGU